CAGUAGCCGCGGUAAUACAGAGGGUGCGAGCGUUAAUCGGAUUUACUGGGCGUAAAGCGUGCGUAGGCGGCUUCUUAAGUCGGAUGUGAAAUCCCUGAGCUUAACUUAGGAAUUGCAUUCGAUACUGGGAAGCUAGAGUAUGGGAGAGGAUGGUAGAAUUCCAGGUGUAGCGGUGAAAUGCGUAGAGAUCUGGAGGAAUACCGAUGGCGAAGGCAGCCAUCUGGCCUAAUACUGACGCUGAGGUACGAAAGCAUGGGGAGCAAAUAGGAUUAGAUACCCCAGUAGUCCCUGUCUCUUAUAA
rnacentral:rRNA from 1 species